CAGCAUCCUUAUAUCCCUACUACUGCCUCUCUUUAUUUUGAACCUGCUGCUACUUAUUUCCAGUACUAUCCCUACACAUCCACUUCUGCUAUCGCUACCUCGUAUGUUUUGUGCCUACCUAUUUGCUUUUCACUCUGUUAGUAAAUUUUAUCUUCAUUUCUGUUCAUGACCACUGACUUUCUUUGCAGAUUCCACUCUCAACUGACAGAAGACAGAAUUUAGUUACAGGUUGGUGGUGAUGGGCUGGUCAGUGUGAAGUGUUUAACUUCCCCAGAAAGCCCUGCUGACACAGAGAAGUCUCCAGUUGGUAACAAACCUUCUAGCAAGUACCAUUUGUUUGACUCUUAUUUUUACAAAUGUCCUUGGCAUUCUAAUAAACUAAGGGGGGAUGAAAUAAUCUGAGUAUAAAUAGACACAAUCCAGGAAGUGGUUGAUGUCACAAGAGAGGCAUAGAGAAUAUGAAAUUGGAUUUCAGAGGCAGGAAAUGGCACAAAUAACAUGGAUUGAAUUGAGUCUACAAGGAAGACAGGAUUUGGAGAUGUAGAAAUAGGGAAGCUGUCCAAGAAACAAAGAACAUCAGUGUGAAAGGAAGUUUAGACUGGAAGAAUUAAGGAAUAACUGCGGAGUAAGAGAAUUUUUCAUUUUAUUAGAGCAGAAGGGGUGUGAACAGGGAGAAAGAGUGGUCAAGGGAAGCAGGAUGUCAAAAUAAAAUGGUAGAUAUAAUCCUGUCCUCUUUCUUGGUGAAAAUGUAAGUAAAACAUUCAUGAUAUGCUGGUAUCUGUAUCAGUACAUGGAUCUGUUGGAAGAGAAUAUCGAAAAGUCAUUGGAAUAAGAUUUUGUCAAUUGAAUGGGUUCUUGACUUUCUCCCUUCUUACGAACAGAUUAUGAUACUAUUAGUAUUGAUUUUGCAUUGAAUAAUGUCAACAUGAUGAAACAGAUCAUUGAUAAGAAUAAGGCUGGAAUGACUCUGAAUGAAUUUCGCAUUUCCUUAAGGAAUGACCUGGGGCAAGUCAUUUUCUUUGUCACCCUUGGUCCAGUCCUCACAUCUGUAAUCUUGCAGGGUGGUUAGUUAUUUGAUGGCUGCUUUCCCGGUCUUUCUGAGUCUAUAAUCACACCCACUUGACCUCUUCAGCUUCGUUUCAAAUGAAAUCAUUCAUUAUUUGAGGACUGACAAAGAGAAAGGCACUCUAUGCUGUUGGCGUGCAUAAUCUUCUUUAUGAAAAAAGCCUCAGCUGGAAGCACUGCUUAGACUCAUGUGUUAUGGGGGAUGAGAAUUCUGGUUAAUUGAAUUUUCUUGUUAGAAUGAAGAUUAAUUAGCAUAUGACCUAUUUAAACCCUUGCUGUUAGCAACAUAUGUCAGGUAUGUAGAACAUUUUCCAUGUGAGAAAUCUAAGUCUCAUAAUAGGAAAAUAAGAUUUAAGUACCAAAUGUGUGUAAACCUCUGUAAUAUUGUCAUUAAGCACUGUGAUGCUAAUAACAGUUGUCACUUAUUGAAUAUUUAUUGUCAGUCAGAUACUUUCCUGAAAGUUUUACAUGUAUCAUCCUACUUAAGAUUAGCAAAACCCAUAAAAGCUAAGCAGGCUAUUGAGACCUAUAGUGUGUGAGCUAACCCUCCAGAAAAGAGAUUGAUUCCCAAUCCUCAGAACCUGGGAAUAUGUGUUUACUUGGAUAAAGAGUCUUUGCAAAUGUAAUAAGUUAAAGAUGCUGAGAUGAGUAAAUUACCCAGAUUAUUGCAGUGGCCCCAAUAUCUGAUGAAAAUUAUCAUUUUACAAGACACAAGGAGGAGGCUGUUUUAUAAUCACAAUGGAGAGUGGAGUAAUUCAGCCACAGAGAAAGAAUUCCCAGAGCCACUGGAAGCUGGGAGCAAUGUGACACAUGGGCUGCUACAGCGUUUACAGGUGUUAGGACCCUCCUAUCACAUCAGUAUAAGACUAUGGCUUCCAGAAUUUUGACAGUAUAUAUUUUUGCUGUUUUAAAUUAACUAGUUUGUUACAUCCCCAGAAACAACUAAUGCAUAUCCCUUUUACAUAUGUAAGAAUAAGGUAUAGGGGAAUCCAUUAACUUACCUCUGUCAGAAUGCACAAAAAAAUUUGUAAGAGAGGUAACCUUAGAAUUUACUUUUAAUCUCAGUAAAAUACUACCCCCUGUAGUAUUCUGUCUCUGCCCACAUAAAAAUACGCAAAGGUGGGGCAUGAAGCCUAAAUUAUGGGUAAGAAUCAGUGAUAGUGUUCUAGAAGAGUUAGUGAUACUGUUUUGAGUUUUAAUGAUAGAAGUAUGUGUCUAGAGAAUAAAGUGAUGAAAACUUUCUACGGAGAACAAGCUAUUAUAGGGGCAGGGAAUAAAACAAGGAGUCUUUAGAGAAAUGAAGUAGGUAGGCAAGAAUCUGGAGAUUUCUGGGACUGAGAAGAAAGAGUGGACUCCUUAGACAUUUGAAGAGGUUAAAGUAUGUGGCAUAGUUUGGUUCCAAGACCAUAUAGAUCUCUUAAAGAUUUGCUCUGGAAGAUCCCUGGGAGGCUAGGUUGGAGUGUAUGAAGACCAGAGGCAGAUUCUCUAGAGCUAUAACUGUGAUAUACACUUCAGUAUCAGCCAUUACAAUGCACAGAAGGCAGAUUUGAGAGAUGCUUUCGGGAAGCAACCUGAGUAAUGUUCAGGGACUAGCAAAUGUCCAGGGCAAAGGGAAGGAGAGACAUGGCUGCCUUGUAGACUUCUGGUGAAAGUAAUGUCGUGGGGUAUGGUUGGUGAUGGUAUGUAUAAAUAAACAUAUCACUAAUGACUGAUAAUUUUGUAUGAUUUUUGUUCUGAAUAUUCAAACAUUUACAUGUUAAUUAUGAAUUAUACAUUCAAGCCUAUAAGGCACUGAACUGCAUAACAUGCACUGUGAGAGACAGAAGAGGACACCUAAUCCACCUCUGUACUGCAGUCUGAGUAUCUAUUCACAUUUCCUAAGAGGGGCAGCCAUGUUAAGAUAAUUUGAUAACUGAAUGUCUCAAGGUCAAUGUCUUACAACCCCUGACCUCAGAUUCUAGCUUUCUUCUUGCUGUUUCCUGGACAGACAGAAUGCUGUCUUUUUUGUAUCUGACCUUCUCCAUUUAUUAGCCAUCUGACCUUUGGAAAUUUGCUUAACCACCCUGUACCUUAAUUUCAGCAGCUGUCAAAAGGAGAUGAAAAUUACAAUGCCUGCUCUCAUUAACUCAGACAAGAACCUAUUUAAAUCAACCACUCAGGCCACCCUCAUCUUAGGUGGCCUGAUUUUCUUCAGAGAAAUCAUCCUAAAGGCGCAAGGCUCUGACCAUAGCAACACCCCAUUUAAACCAGCAAGGUAGAGUGGGAAGGCAGAGCUGAGUCAAGCCUGAAACCAACUGUGUACAUGCUGGAGGCUCCUUUAUGAAAAACAGACCUUGUCCAAAAGGUAUGGUCAGAAAUAUUUUGGCAAAGUCAAAACCAACUGGUAAAUAUUUCAGUAGAUGUGUUAAUAGGACACACAAAGAGGAAGGUCCCGGAACUGAACUGAGGUGAUGAUAAAACAACUAUCAAAAACAAAUGAGAACUUCCUGGGACUGUCAUUGCCCCAGGACAGCUAUG